rnacentral:tRNA from 1 species
GGGGCUGUAGCUCAGUGGUAGAGCACCCACCUCGCACGUGUGAGGCACUGGGUUUGAUCCUCAGCACCACA